AUAAUUCUCUAGCCCAUAAACUCAGUGGAGGACCCUCAGCAUCCGUGUGUGACACUGAACUUGCUGUCACUUGAUGCAUCCAAGGAGACGACUGGUUUUCCCCGUGUUGGGCUUGGAGGGGAAAUCCUUGCUUAGGACCAACACCCAGGCAGUGUUAUUUCGCUUCACUUCCUCUUCCAGGCUGGACCCCAUGCUCUCUCAUCUUUAUUCUUUUACUGUAAUAGUAAUAGACUUUUUUGUUGUCAACUUUUUGCUGCUUCUUAUACAUCAGGUAAAGCUAAGAUACUAUCCCACAGGUGUUUCAAAUGCAACAACUUUUAUUUCCAGGUAGGACUACACUUGAAAAUAUACAUUCAGCAAGAACAUUUUGUGAAUGUUAUGUGAAUGACAACACUUUCAAAUUUACUAUGUCUUAAAAUGAAAGUGUUUUGAUAAAAUUAUAUAAGGUUCCAUUUUUAUUCUAAAAGUAAGAACAUAACUUGAAGUCUAUAAAUAGCACUAAGACUCUGGAGGUCUUUUCAUGUCCUUCAUUAUUUUUUUUCCCUGAAAGAUUUUUAUUUCAUCAUCCCACUUCCCUGCCUUUCUCUGUGGCUAUAUCAGUAUUUUUUAUGUCUGGUCCUGUAGGGGUUCUGAGAUCUUAUGGGAAUGGGGUAGGGGGACUACGCAAUUUUGUUUCUACCAGGAGUUGUGUGACUUGGGCGAGCUACUUUACCUCUAUGAUCAGUUCCCCAAUAUGUAAAAUAAUUUCCUCUGUUAAAUCAAGUUUAGCCUAAAGCUGCCUCCUUACAUAUUUUAAGUUUGGCCUAAAGGUUUCUCUGUACAUCACGAACUAUAGCAAGUGGAGUUGUAAACAGACCGUAGCCUACACUUGUGCCAAUCACUGAGUUUUGGCCAAUCAUAUGUAGCUAACUGAACCGUGUUCAAGUUAGGCAAACGUUGAGCUGUAACCAAUCUGGCUGUUUCUGUACUUCACUUCUGUUUUCUGUAUGUUACUUUUCUUUUUCUGUCCAUAAACUUUCUUCCUCCAUGUGGCUGUGCUGGAGACUCUGAGCACACCCUGGCUUGGGAGGCUGCCCAAUUUGUGAAUUGUUUAUUGCCCAAUUAACCUCAUUUAAAAUUUAUUCGGCUGAAGUUUUUCUUUUAUCAGGUGGUGUCAGAAGUGGGGUUGGAAGUAGAGCUUCAAAUGACCCCCAGCAGUGCUGAGUGACCUAGUGAGGUACCCUCUGGGCCCACUGUGUCUCUUUCUCUCUCAGAGCAGCUGGGGAUCGUGUGUAUUUUCACCAAGUAAAGAAAGCUUUUUAUGGUUUACUGACUGAGGACAACCAACCCCUUCACAAUCUAGAACCUGAAGAUUGGAUCUUCUGAGAACAUCAGAGAAAGACUGCCCUUGCCAUCCACACUGCAGCAAACAUCAGAACCAUGAACCUUGGGUUCAUAAUCUCAUAACUGAGAAGGAUGCCUCCACAUUCUCGGAAAUAUACACCCAUUGGAACCCUUAAGGUGUCAAACUUUCUCAGUCAGAAGUUGACAUAACAAAGUCACCAGCUUCAGGUCUCCUUUAAAGCUCCAGGCCUAGCUUUCUUCUGAAUCUCUGCUCUUCAACCACAAUGACUUAUGUACCCCAAGACCCCUCCACCUCCUGGCUACCUAUGAUCCUCCUGCACCUAGCACUCAGCAAAGGGUCUGACAUUUAGAUAGCACUCAAUCAAUAUGAAGAAUUUAAAGUGUAGUGACAGGUGGUGCCCACACUGGAUGGUCUGUAUGCUGUGGUCUCAUCAGGGACCUUUCUCUGCACUGCAUUUUUCCUGAGAAAUCCCAGAGUUCAAUAAAUACCUGUGUAUGUCAGA